CGGGCAGGCUCCAGGGAGAAGAGAGCCGAGCAGGCCACGCAGACGCACAGACCCCUCCUUCCACCCGGGAUGUUUGUCUCUGUUUCCACAGAGCCUCAGAUGACUUCUGGGGACCUUUGUUUCCUUCUCCAGCUCUGGGCCCUCUUCCUUUCCGGGCAUUCCCCUUCUUUCCUGUGACCCCAUCGUCCCUCACUAGCACCCAGAGACUGAGAAGCACAAGAAGCUCAACAUGGACAAAGAAGCCAGUUAACCCUUGCGGGCUUGAAGAUGGGUCUGCCCCGUCUCUAACUCCAGUGAGCCAUGUGACCUGGGGCCUGUUACCUAACCUCACCAUCCCUCACUUUCCUUACUUGCAAAAGAGAGGCAAAAACAUCUGCCUGACAGAGCAAGUCUAAGGAAUGAAUGCAUGAAAAGUGCACAGCAUCUUGUGGGCCUCACUUUACGCAUUUCGGCCAUUGCUUCUUGCCUCAUCUCCUUCAUGCCUGGGUAUAGGCAUUCUGUUUAGAAGCAACCCUUUGUUCUACCUUCUGUCCUUCCCACAGGCACCAGCUGCCCCAAGGAUAUUUGAAAGGAUCGUUCUCAUUACCACUCUUUCCUUUGAUUUUACCUUUAUUGAAUACCAGACUCAAGAGUUGGAAGGAUCCUUUAAGAUCCACUCAUCUAUUCAUCCAACAAAUAUUUACAAAAUGUCUACUGCAUGUCAAGUACUGUUCCAGGCUCUGGAAUAGAGAUGUGAACAAAAUACACAGACCCUGGCUCUUAUGGUGCUUAACCUGUGGGCAGGCAUUGAACAGUAGAACAAUACAUUACAUGUAGGACAACAAACUUGUCUCAGUUUGACCAAGACUUGCCUAGGUUUAGCAAUAAAGUCCUACAUCCUGCGACUGUAUCCUCAGUCCUGCCAAACUGGGAAGGUGGGUCACUCUAAUUACAAAUAUGAUGAAAGGAAAAGCUCCUGCGAAUGCUUUCAACUAGAGACCUGACCCUGGCUUUGGGAGAGCUGAAGCAAGGACGUUGCCACAAAGGGUUUACUUAUGAAGACAAUCCUUGGGCUAUGCUCCAAGGAGAACUGAUGGGAAGCGGGAUGCAGAGGCCAGAUAAUAGGACUUCCUUUACGUAGAAGGGGCUUCUGAAGUGUUUAUUAAAUGAUUGGCUGGAUGAGUAGAAAUGGCUUCUUCUGCCUUCA
rnacentral:lncRNA from 1 species